rnacentral:rRNA from 1 species
CCUACGGGUGGCAGCAGUGGGGAAUAUUGGGCAAUGGACGCAACUCUGACCCAGCAACGCCGCGUGAAUGAUGAAGGUCUUCGGAUUGUAAAGUUCUGUGAUGGGGGAUGAACACAAUGACGGUACUCCAAUAGCAAGCCACGGCUAACUACGUGCCAGCAGCCGCGGUAAUACGUAGGUGGCAAGCGUUAUCCGGAAUGACUGGGCGUAAAGGGUGCGUAGGUGGUUUAGUAAGUUGGCGGUGUAAUUCCGGGGCUCAACCUCGGCGCUACCGCCAAAACUAUUAGGCGAGAGUGCGGGAGAGGUAGGUAGAAUGCCUGGUGUAGCGGUGGAAUGCGUAGAUAUUAGGAGGAACAUCGGGGGCGAAGGCGACUUACUGGAC